AGAAAAUGUAGCUUAUUCCAGAAACUGCUAAAAGGAUCAAUAUGCUGUCGUGUCAUGAGAGAGCCACAAUUCUUCAAACAUAUUUAACUGCUGGAGAGAAUGGCUCAGAAUCCCAGGUAUCAGCUUCAGCACACAACCAAACAAAGAAAAAAACAGCGAAUCUGACAAAAGCAGGAUGAAGAAUAAAAGAGAAGAGAAGAAAUUAAAGAAAUAGGAAGCAGUUAUGAUGAUUAACAAGACUAACAACUAGUUCAAAGAAAAGAAAGCACUAAUAAAUUAGAAAAACAUCUGGAAAACUGGUCAAGUGAAAGACAAAGAAUGUAAAAGAAAAUAUUAUGAGGAACAUGGGGUCAAAUAAUA
rnacentral:lncRNA from 1 species